CAUGCGUCCUCCAUCGUCUGGCACCUGCAGCCCACAGGAUCAAGCCUUACUGAUUUGCAUGUCACUUUCUGAAUGAUGAUGCACAGAACAUCCCUCCCUGUCUUUGCACAUACUUUCCCCCACCUCCUGGGAUGUCCUUCCUCCUCUUUGUGAUGUAGCUCAGAAGUACUCAAAGUAUGGUCCCUGGACUAGAGCUUCAGGGUCACCAGGCAACUUAAAAAUGCAAAUUCUUGGUCUCUCCUGUAGACCUACUGAAUCAGAAUCACUGGGCACUGGGAUGAGCAAUCUGUGGUUCGGCAAGCCCUCCAGGUGAGCAUGUUUAAGUUUGAGACCAUCUGGCUGGUGAAAGUUUUAUCAGCCAUGCUCAGGCACCAUCUAUCAGUUUAUGCAUCAUCCCAACUCCUUGCUACACUUUGUAGAAAGAUUGCUUCCUCCAUCAGAUCUCCUCAAAAGGUUCCUAAAGCUCUGAAAACAUUGCAUAGCGCUGAUCACAUUCUGUGGUUGUUAUUGUUAACGGUUUGCAUUUAUGUUCCCACCACUAGGGGACCCUGUCACACUUAAUUAUUGGUCUGCCCCAAUGUCCAGCCAUGGACCUUGAUGAAUGCACUGUACUCUCCAUGGUUUCAGGCAUCCACUGAGGCUUUUGGAAUGCAUCCCCCGUGGAUAAGGGGGAUAAGUGAACAGUCACAACUAACACCUUUUUGACAUCAUCUCUGGAAAGCAGGUAUUAUGACUAUCACCACACUGCAGAGAAAUCUAACUCAGAGAAGUAGAGUGACCUGCUAAUGAGGUGUGGGUCUCAGGAUUCAGACGUCAGAUUCACACUGCUGGAGAUGAAGCACUGCUGUCUACAUACACCACACAGACCCUGAACAUGCACCGACAGCACUCACGCACAACACAUACACACACAGACAACACACAUGGCCACAAAGCCCCUGAAAGAAUGAAGCCCAGGUGUGCAUGCUCUGGAGAUGCCCACGACUCUGGGAGUGCAGCAAUCCCUUUGCCCGCUGGCUUCAUUCCCAGUUAGCUGGUCCUGGUUGCAGGCUCUAAAUGACCCAUGCAGCCUUCUCUCCAUCAGGCAUUGUUAGCCAAUGUUCUGCCUCCUGAAGACACUGUUUGAAACUAGGUCAAGGUCGGAGUCCUCAAUCUGCCACUUGUCCCCUCUGUGGCCCAGCCCACCUCGUUUCCCUUGGAAGGCCCUCAGCUUUCUCACCUGUCAAGUGGGAAAGAUACAGGGCCACAGUCCCUUACUUAAUGCUCUCCAGGCCACAUGGAUCUCAGAAUUCAGAAUGUUUCAGGUUUUAGAAAUGUAAGAAGUACACAUGUGCUGUGUAUUACCUAACAUCCCACUGGGGCAGCGCCUCAAUUAUCAAACACAUUAGUAUUUGCAAAGCAAAAGUAUGACUAUUCACACCAAAUGGCACAAAUAGAUUUGUAUCAUUUCAAACUGACCUUUACCAACAAGUUACGGAAGUGUUUUCAUUUUUUCUGCGCUUCCAGGAAUGUGGAAUUUCAGAGAUAAUGGAAUCACACAUGCGCCAGAGGGUUACUACAAGGACUAAAUACACACAGCGUACAUGCAAAAUACUUUUCCUGGACGUUGUGGGCAGCCAAGAGCUCUUCUUUUCUUCCUCCCCUUUCCAAAUCCUACCCUUUUUUCAGGCCCCUUCCAGACCAUCUUCCUGGGCUUUCCUGUUUGGGAUGCAUCCCGAGUAUGCUCUUCCCAGACACAGGCGCACCUCCCUCACAUCCUCCCAUGUAACUGGGAUCUCCUCCGAUAUUCAGUCAUUGUAUUUGGUCUUACAGUAGUGGAGAUGUGAGAGGGCAUGAUUGUUGGUGAGCUGGUCUGGGUCCUUUCGUUCUUUUAUUUAUUUACCCGCUAGCAAAACCCUGGUCUCGGCCAGGAUUUAGCUCAGUGGUUUCGCCGCGGCCUGCUGCACAAGCACAAGGACUCGAGUUCGAUCCCCGGUACCAAAAAAAAAAUAAGGCCUGGUCUCACCUAAGCCAGGGACCACUUUCCCACAAAGAUGAGUAGGAUCUUGUUCCCAGGAGAAAGCCCACCCAAGCGGUCCUCCCGCGCUGCCACGUGGCUGAGGGAGGUGCACACGAAGCGAUGAACCAGCUCGGCCUAUCUACCAGUCUAGGGAUCGGCCAACUCCCGUCCCUCCAGGGCCUGGCCCUUCUCAGCAGUCACGCACAGCCACGCCAUGGUUUGGAAUCUGUGCCCCUGGAAGGCACCCGAGUGUGGAAGGGCAGCGGCCAGGCGCUCUGGGUCCCUGCGUCAGCCGGCAGAGCACCGUGUGGCUGCUGUGACGAAACUGCACGGUGGAAUGGGAAAGGCCCUGCCCUGAUCUAAGCCGUCAUUAUGUGGGUCCGAUUCUGGCCACAGACGCCACGUGGGUAGUCAGGCCUCUGCUGUUAUUUCGCCCUCAGGGGUGAAAACAUCCAAACAGUGGAAUCUUUUUAUGUUCCUGGCUCCAGUCUCGGAAUGCACAGACUUUGGACUCACCGUUGUUUGUCUCUAUCACCUCCCCAGGCAGAAGGGCCUCCCGAGACGCACAUCUCUCCUUCCUGCGUCCCUGGCUGCCUCACAGCUGGCGUCCUCCCCACCACCCUGGCAGGUGCCUACUGCCUAGACAACUAGGGAGCCGAGGCACCCGCUGGGGCCUGGCCCUCUGGGACAGGCUUUGAUGAGGCGGGCGUCUUCAGAGGAAUGCAGACCUGUCUGCACCCGAAAACCAAAACUGGGGCCAAGGGGCGGGGCCGCGCGGCUGGCAGAGAGGCCCUACCUCAGCAGGGCGGACAUGUUAUCUGGAAAGUGGGCACUGAGGCAGGUCCGGGACUGGAGCCAGCUACACUGCUUUCCCAUGUGCGCAGGCGCGGAUCCCGGAGCACGGGAAAGGGGCCCCGUGGGGCGGAGAGCUGCAGGCUCCCUCUUCUGUGUGCAACGACCGCGCCAGGGGGCGGCUGCUCCACAGAGCCCACGAGCAGCUUUCUCAGGGAUUCUUUGAACCAGCCCCGCGAUGUUCUGAAUCAUCAGAACCAGGUUCUGCUCCCUCGCCGUCGCUACCCACACUGACCUCCCACUGCUGGCCACUCUGCGCCCGUGGCUAAUGAGCUGUUGAAAUGCGCUCCUAAUCGACACCAGCUUUGGGAGAUUUCGUAUUUUAAAAAUAUACCUUCUUAUUUUUUGUCCCCUGGGACAAUAAACCAUAGUAUAAUUGA